AUGAUAUCAUCAACAAAAAUCGCGACCCACAUUAUUUCCAACCCUAUCUCUAACUUCUUAUCUAAUUUUUUCUCUCUCACCAUUCUGCUUAUGUUUUCGUCGGCGGCAUUCUUACGAUUUCACUGAACGCGAUCUUCUUGCUGUCUUUGCUCAAUAUGGCGAAAUGGUGGAUGUUAAUCUUGUUAGAGAUAAGGCCACUGGAAAGUCCAAAGGUUUUGCAUUUGUGGCACAACUCUAGCCCGCAUUCUCUGAUUUGAAGCAGGUUCGAUCGAUUUCUGAGCCAAUCACCGUCGCAUGUUUUCGUUUUAGGAAGUAUGAUAGAUAGAUACUCUUGUUUGUCCAGCUCAGGAUGCACUCUUCCGGGUGCAUGACAGAGUGAUUGCUGAAGAUGCAGGUGCUGAUGAUGAGCCAGAUGGAAAUCAACAUGUUACUGCUCGGUUGCUUGUUCCCUCUGAUCAGAUUGGGUGUAUUAUUGGGAAAGGUGGUCAGAUUGUUCAAAGCAUCCGCAGUGAAACUGGUGCUCAGAUUCGGAUUCUGAAAGAUGAUCAUCUGCCCACAUGUGCGUUGUGCACAGAUGAACUUUUGUAGGUAAUGCUGAAAUGUUUUAUUUAGUUGACUGCUGUAGUGGAGAUGUUACUGUCAUAGUUAUCAUGUCCGGGUUAUAUAUUGUCCACAUUUGUGUUUGCAAGCAAAAUAGCUCAGGUAAUGUUUCCUUUUACAAUGAUUGUCCUCUUUCACUUAUCUUUUUGUGCAUGAGAAUGGCUAAAUUUUAGUCAGCGAAAUUUUGAAAGCAUGAGAUUGUGGGGGCAUUCUAGGAGCUUCACUUGGAAGUGCUCUUUAUGCUGAGUUCAAUUUUAUUUAGUCGCGAAGAGAUUUCUUUUUGUAAGGUUCUGGGGCCUUCUUUUACACAAUUACAUCAUUUUGUUGUUUGAGUUGAUGAUGUAAGGUUCUAGGGCCUUCUUUUACACAUUUACAUCAUUUUGGUGUUUGACAAUCAACUGGAACACAAUGUGGAAAUUAUGGGUUAUCAGAUUUGCGUUUGAGUCCAAGAUUUUUGUUGUGGAAUUUUAAGUGUACAUGUAAUUAUAUGAGAUUUGUAUUAGAUUUUGUUCUAAGUAUAUUAG